UACGUAGGGUGCGAGCGUUGUCCGGAAUUAUUGGGCGUAAAGAGCUCGUAGGCGGUGUGUCACGUCGAUCGUGAAAACUUACAGCUUAACUGUGAGCGUGCGGUCGAUACGGGCAUCACUGGAGUUCGGCAGGGGAGACUGGAAUUCCUGGUGUAGCGGUGAAAUGCGCAGAUAUCAGGAGGAACACCGGUGGCGAAGGCGGGUCUCUGGGCCGAUACUGACGCUGAGGAGCGAAAGCGUGGGGAGCGAACGGG
rnacentral:rRNA from 1 species